CUCUCUUUCUGUGUCUCUCAUUCCUGUUCUUGCUAUCACUCUUGCUCUCGCUGUGUGUGUGUCCUUCUCUCUUUCUCUCUAUGUCUUCCUCUCUCUCUGCAUCUCUUUGUGUCUCUCUCUCCCUCCCUCCCAUAUAUCCAUCCAUUUCAUUUUCUCUUUGUCUUUCCCAACAUCCCUUUUUUUGUCCAGUCUGGAUCUGGUCCUAAGGGUCAUCUUCUCUCUCCAGCACUGACAUCCUCCCAGGGUGUCUGCCUCCUUCCAUAGCCUGUCUUAGGAUGUGUGACUGGCUGAUGGUGCCUUCCUGCAGUGAAGACCCAGGUGUGGUGUGGCCCCGUGGCCGGCCGGAUCGCCUGCUGUCUAACGCUCUGCCCAUUCCCUGUUACUAGAGCUUCUCAACACAGGUGAGGAUUUCUAGAAACCCCUUCUGUAAAUUUACCUGUGGAUGCCGAGGGACAGAAGAUGGGUCAACUGGACAAUAAUGCACACCAUAGUCUCCAAUCACCUCAGCUUUCACUACAUUUUGAAAAUGUCCACUAGCAGUAGAAGACAAUACGGGGAUGCACAAAACAUUCUCAACUUCACCUAAAUUUUCAUUGAAUUGUGAAAAAUGAGUUCACGUUUUUAACAAUGUAUUGUGAAGAAAUUGGAACUCUACACUAUAUAUUUGGAUGAGUCCUUGAUAUAAGCGUGUCAGUUCUGAGCUGGGAGAUGGAGAGAUUGGUACAGCGUUCUCUGUGCACCGAGUUCAAGCCCUAGAACCUGUAUAGAAGAGUCAGGUGCGGUGACUCCAGCCCUUGUGAUCUUAACUGCAGGGAGGCAGAGACAGGUGGACCCCCAGCCUACCCUACUUGGUGAGUUACAGGGCAGUGAUGGACUUUGUCUCAAAAGAUCCCAGGUAAAUGGUUCCUGAGGAAUGACACUUGAUGUUGUUCUCUGUCUCCAUGUGUACACGAACACAUGCACACUCUCUCGAGUGCGCACUCUCGAAUACACACACAUCACCGCAAUUCAACAAACAGUAUUUCAUUUUAGUAAGGGGGGGCACUAAUUAAGAAAUCACAAGAACAAAAGGAGCUCUCUCUGAGAGUAAAUGGCAGAGGGGAACCCAUCCCUAACAAGACAUUUAUACCAUCCCUUCCAAGCAAGACUCAAAAAACACGUCAGAAGAGGGGGAAGAAAGAAUAUAAAAGCCAAAUGUUAGGGAGAAUGGCUGUGAAAUGCCAUGUUCUGGAAACACAGAGUAGUUGUGGGUGGCUGGAGGUCUGACAAGAAAGGCCAGUUAGCAGUCCGGUGUGGAUGGAGGAGGGGCUCACAAGGCCCCGCCCCCUGCUGAUGAACUGUUUCCUAGGGAAAGAUCCAGGGAGAGGGGGGAGCCCUUGCUUACCCACAGAGGACCAAACCCGGCUCCUAUUGAUAUCUCCCAUCCAAGGCUCACAGAAAUGGCCCUGGUUAAAUGAAGUGGGUCACAAAACAAAUCAGAAGUCAUGACCUGGGAAGGGAAGGAGAUGGUGGUGAUAGGACUGGAAGGGAGAUGAGAGGGUGUGGGGGAGAAAGUCAUCAGAAUAUGUUAUACACAAGCAUGACAUUGCCAGAACACAAAUUUGAUAAGAACUGAAAGCAAGUGGCAAUCUUUUCGCAAGAAAAUGGGGUUGGAUCCUAGCCUCAUAGCACACAUACAAUUUAAACUCAAAUAGGAAAUGGCCCAAGGCAGGAACUGGAGGCAGGAACUGAAGCAGAGGCCAUGGAGAGAUGCUACUCACUGGCUUGCCUGCUCUGUGCUCUCCUACCUUUCUUAUACAGCCCAGGAUGCCUAUGGAUGGCACUGCCCACAGUGGACCAAGCCUUCCUAUAUCAAUUAACAGUUAAUAAGAUGCCUCGUAGACAUGGCAACAGGCCAGCCUGAGCUGGACAAGUUUUCAGUUGAGGUUCCAUCUUCCAGGGGACUUGAGGUUUGCAUCAGGCUGACCAUCGAAGCUAGCUAUGACAUGAACCUAUUUCUUGGCUUAUAUUUUCUUUUUAAUCAUUAGUUGCUAGCACACUUUCCUCCAUGUCCUUGAGCAGAGUUAUAACAACAGCCUUGAAAUAUUUGCCUCUCAACUCUAAGGUGUGGGUCACCUUGUUAUCUCAUAUCUUCAUACAUCUAAUAACUUUCUAAUGUCUCUGUCUUUUAUUGGUACUAUAUUGUUUGGGGGAGGGAAUGUACUACAUAAAACUUAAUUUUAAAAAUUC
rnacentral:lncRNA from 1 species